AUAAGUUCAUUUACACGGUAAUGUUUGAGAGGUGCUUAAUAAGAUGCUGGAAUAUUUUUCUCCUUGUGUAAAACACAACACUGUUAACACAUUUACAAAAAUUACAAUUUUAUGUUUACCUGCUCGAUAUUACAUGCUUGAUAUAAUCCUGGCCCCGUGUUCACAAAACUUUUUACUGUCAUCGAAAAUCGAUUUUGCAUGACAUUGAAAAUCGUUGUCAAGUGACAUCGAUGACAAAGUUCGAGUUCACGAAGUUAUUUAAAAUUGAUGUCGUUCAACAUCGGUUUUAACGACAUCGAUUUUUUUCGACUUUUUGUGGACGUAAGCGGUAAAGCGGAAGUUGUUUUUUGUUGACGUCUGCUGCAACUACAAUGACUGCUCAGGUGCAUUGGUCUAUGUCGGAAAAAACCUUCGUGGUUCAACUGAUAAAUGAUCGGUACGACGAGUUAUAUUGUCGAUUUAAAGGUGCCACACUAGGUGGCAAAAAAAAGGAACAAACCUGGCAAGAGGUUGCUGAUACCUUCAAUAGCUCCAGUGUCGCACAAUGUUCUAGGACAGUGCGUCAAAUAAAAGACAUGUAUGCGCAGUUAAAAUGUCGAGCCAAAAAAAAAGAGUCUGACAGAAAAGAACUGGAGGGGGGCCUCCAGCUGUAUUAACCACCGUGGAAGACCUGGUCAUAGAUGGCAUCCGCGACAAGCCACAGCUGAUUGGCAUUCCGGGUGGCAUUGAUUCAGGCAUGGCUGAUGUUGCUGAGAUGGCAGACACUGAUGAAGCCUCAGCCAAGUGUACACUAACUGUUGCUGAGUGUACAUCAAAGCCUGCAACUGCCUCGAAUGUAGCCACUUCUUCAACAUCAAGACCAUCAAAAGAAUCGUUGAAAAAGAGAGAGAGAAACAGAUGCUAUGAAGAAGAGCUACUUGAGCUGGAAACAAGACGUGCACAGGCUGAGUUGGACCUGCUGUUGCAGAGGCAACAGCAGGAAAAACAGCUACAUGAUCUUAGAAUUAAGGUGAUCACAGAGGCUGCAGAGCAAGAGAGACAACUUUUUACUUUAAAAAAAGAGUUGUUAAACUCAAAUAUAAAGUCUGCAAUGGAUCAAGGCCUUCUUUUGUUUGAAUCUUAAACUUAACAUGUUCCUAGGGGCAUAUCGACUGCUAAUAGACAAGUUAAAUAGCUAUUAUUUGCAGAAACAGCUACAUAGGACUGAUUUAUGCAUGUUUUAUUAAUUAAAUGUAUAAAUAAUUUGUGACACUCAAAUAUGAAUAAGUGAAACACUACUUACCAUAAAUAAAGGACCAAGUUUGGUAAAUGAUGAAAGUGCUAUACUGAUGGGCAGCUGGUGUUCCACUUAUUCAUAUUUUAAUGUCAUACAUUAUUUAUACAUGUAAUUCACAUAGCAUGCAUGAAUCAGUCCUUUGUAGCUUUUGCUGCAAAUAAUAUCCAUUUAACUUGUUGUUAGCAGUCAAUAUGCCCCUUGAAACAUGUUUGACUCAAGAUAUAUUUGUGUCCGGUGAAAUAUUUAAAAUGCAUUUGUCUUUAGCAUUUAAGACACAUUUCUAGUUUCCAAUAUACCUGUUUAAAUGAAUAAUACUGUUGAUACGCCUAUUCUUUUGUUCUAACUUGUCUUUCUUGAUCUGCAGCCUCGGUGAUCCUUCUCUUAUCUUUUUGCUAUUGAUAUAAUACUUUGUUAGUUUAUCAUUAUGUGAAUGAAUCUUUGUUUAGUUAUCUUCAAAAUGACUGUGAAUGUUUUGUGAUCAGAUUCAUAGGUAAAACGUUUUUCGAUUAUUUUCUUAAGUUUGAGUCUUACAUUUUAGACUAAAAAAAGUUGGUGAAUCCAAACCCUGAUAAUUUCAUUAAUGAUUUUUUAUGCUCCCCUUUGAAGAAGAGGGGGUAUAUUGUUUUGCACAUGUCGGUCGGUCCGUCGGUCGGUCGGUCCGUCCAUCAUUUGGUUUCCGAAUUAUAAGUAAAGAGUGCUUAGGCCUAGUAUCAUAAAACUUCAUAGGUACAUUUAUCAUGAAUGGCAGAUAACCCCUAUUAAUUUUAAGGUCACCAGGUCAAAGGUCAAGGUCACAGUGACAUGAAAUAGUAAAAUAAUUUCCGGAAUGAUAACUCAAGAAUGCUUAGGCCUAGGAUCAUGAAACUUCAUAAGUAAAUUGAUCAUGACUGGCAGAUGAUCCUAUUAAUUUUCAGGUCACUUGGUCAAAGGUCAAGGUCACAGUGACUCAAAACAGUAAAAUGGUUUCAGGAUGAUAACUCAAGAAUAUUUAGGCCUAGGAUCAUGAAACUUCAUAGGAACAUUGAUCAUGACUGGCAGAUGACCCCUAUUGAUUUUCAGGUUAAAGGUCAAGAUCACAGUGACAAUAAAUGUAUGCACACAAUGGCUACCACUACAACUGACAGGCCAUAUGGGGGGCAUGCAUGUUUUGCAUACAGCCCUUGUUAUUAUAUAACUAUAUGUUUUUAAAAGAAAGAUUCUGCGAUGUGGUCUCUGUAACUGUUUCCAGACCCAUCUCCUUCAUAAACAACAUGUGGCUGAUCCGUGUCAUCCUCACAUGUUCGUGAAAACAUGUCUUGCCUCUCUAAUCCAAUGUUAUGAAGAAUGACACACGCGACUGUUAUUUUGGCUGCUCUGUCAGGUUUUACUCUAAGUCCAUAAUGUAGACAUGGAAACCUACGCUUGAGAACGCCAAAAGCUUGCUCGAUCACCACUCUUGUUCGACAUAAGGAUAUGUUAAACCGUUCCUGUAAAUGAAACAACAUACUAAUAAUAUUGCAAUCAUUCCACUAAAUGUUAAGAACUAAUGCUAGUUUGGUGACAUUGCUUUAUGCCUGUAAGUAAAUAUUAAACCUUUUCAUGAUGAUUAGUAUUUAUGCCCCCCUUCGAAGAAGAGGGGGUAUAUUGCUUUGCUCAUGUCGGUCUUUCGGUCGGUCUGUCGGUCGGUCCGUCCACCAGGUGGUUGUCAGACGAUAACUCAAGAACGCUUGUGCCUAGGAUCAUGAAACUUCAUAGGUACAUUGAUCAUGACUAGCAGAUGACCCCUAUUGAUUUUGAGGUCACUAGGUCAAAGGUCAAGGUCACAGUGACCUGAAAUAGUAAAAUGGUUUCCGGAUGAUAACUCAAGAACGCAUACGCCUAGGAUCAUGAAACUUCAUAGGUAGAUUGAUCAUGACUUGCAGGUGACCCCUAUUGAUUUUGAGGUCACAAGGUCAAGGUCACGGUGACCCGAAAUAGUAAAAUGAUAUUCGGAUGAUAACUCAAGAACACUUUUGCCUAGGAUCAUGACACUUCAUAGGUACAUUGAUCAUGACUCGCAGAUGACCCCUAUUGACUUUCAGGUCACUAGGUCAAAGGUCAAGGUCACAGUGACAAAAACGUAUUCACACAAUGGCUGCCACUACAACGGACAGCCCAUAUGGGGGGCAUGCAUGUUUUACAAACAGUCCUUGUUUUGUUUAAUCUAAGGUUAACAAAAUUUAAUUCUGAAUAUAUGUUACAUUGUUUUUAAGAUCCAUUUAAUAACUAUACCUUACAAGGACUGUCAGUGUUUUGAUAUGGUGUCAUAAGAUACCUCUUGCAUCCAUAGCCAGAGUCACCAAGCAGAAGACCGUCGAUUUCACCUGUUAUAAAAAAAAAAGAUCAUUUUGCAGCACUGUAAUGUCAAACAACGAUAUCAAGCAGUGUAUUGUUUAAUGCAUGCAAGUUUAUGACAUAGUUAUAACGUUAUUAAUGUAAUAUGUUGUUGUUUAUGUUACAUUUAA